rnacentral:rRNA from 1 species
GACGAACCGUGCGAACGUUGUUCGGAAUCACUGGGCUUAAAGGGCGCGUAGGCGGCUUGCCAAGUCAGGGGUGAAAUCUUUCGGCUUAACCGGAAAAGUGCCUUUGAUACUGGUAAGCUUGAGGGAGGUAGGGGCAUGUGGAACUUCCGGUGGAGCGGUGAAAUGUGUUGAUAUCGGAAGGAACGCCGGUGGCGAAAGCGACGUGCUGGACCUCUUCUGACGCUGAGGCGCGAAAGCUAGGGGAGCGAACGGG